UACAGAGGUCUCAAGCGUUGUUCGGAUUCAUUGGGCGUAAAGGGUGCGUAGGUGGUCGUUUAAGUCCGUUGUGAAAUCCCUGGGCUCAACCUGGGAAUGGCAGUGGAUACUGGACGGCUAGAAUGCGGUAGAGGGUAGUGGAAUUCCGGGUGUAGCGGUGGAAUGCGCAGAUAUCAGGAGGAACACCGAUGGCGAAGGCAGGUCUCUGGGCCGAUACUGACGCUGAGGAGCGAAAGCGUGGGGAGCGAACAGG
rnacentral:rRNA from 1 species